rnacentral:hammerhead_ribozyme from 1 species
AAUUGAAACACCCCUUCGGGGGUGUCCGUCGGAGUUGGCCGUCCGGCGCUGACGAGAUAGGCUAUU